ensembl:lncRNA
AUGGAAUAUUGUGCAGCUAUUAAAAAUAGGUCGGGGACCAACCAAUUAAAUGGCGGUGGAGAAUGCAUAAGAAAUUAUAUAUAUAUAUAUAUAUAUAUAUNNNNNNNNNNNNNNNNNNNNNNNNNNNNNNNNNNNNNNNNNNNNNNNNNNNNNNNNNNNNNNNNNNNNNNNNNNNNNNNNNNNNNNNNNNNNNNNNNNNNCGCAGGGGGCGCUGAACCGCGCGGGCGCCGCGCAGCCUUCCGCCGGGAGCCGGAGAGCGGUCUGGGCGAGGUGGCGGCCUCCCGCCGCGGCCUCCACGGCGGCUGGGAUCCGGGCGCGCGAGAAACGGAAGGGUCCCUUCCUGAAGAAAUGAUGUCGGUCAUUCAUCAUGACCCGUUUCAAGCCCCCAAUCUUAGUAGAGAACCCAGGGGACUAGGGGACAAGCCCUUGCCCUUGGGCAUAGGACUGAGUCAGGAACAGUGUUUUGAGGCUACACUUGCCGUGAGACUGCUACCCUCACCCAUCACCUGACAACACCACAAACCUAGAGGUAGGUGAGUUUGGGACUUUAGCAUCAAGAACAAAAUCAAUUGGGUUUAUGGUUUAUGUUUUGUAAUAUUAGGACGUACCAUAUGGAAUCAAGAAAAAAGAAGUAACUUAAAAGAAAAAAAGACUCUUGCUUUCCAAAUGUAUAGCAUCUUUUCAGCUGAUCUGUGUUUCCGGAAUAAGGAAGUGAGCCAGGUGAAAGAAGGAGAGAACAUUCCUGGAUGAAGGAGAUGGGGACAAGGGAAAAUGGGUGUAGCACUUUUAAGGAGAGUAGUUUGGAGCCGGAUCACUCAGGGCCUGGAAAGCCAGGGAGCAGCACCAACUGGCAUAAGCCUUAGGAAGCUCAGUGAGGUGUGAGUGUGGAAAAUGGGCAAGGAGAAGGAGGGGGGAGAUGCUGUUAUUAUCCAGAGGAGGGACAGUGACGUCUGAAAUGAAAUGGUGGCAGCAGGAGAGGGUGGAACGGAGAUGGCGACUGUGCAGAAGGAGGAAGAGCUUUCUGGUUUGGGCCAAUGGGAGUUCAGUCUGAGGAAAGAAGACAAAUCAGUUUAGGAUUAGUUGACUUUGAGAUGCCUGUGGGAUACGCAGGUGGAAAUACCCCAGGGACAGACGGAUAAGCACUUCCAGAAACCAGCAGGGCUGGAGGGCUGGUUUGGGAAGCUAUCGGCAUCUAGGUGGUAACUGAAGCCAGAGAGGAGAACAGCAGGGGAGACCGUUGGCAAUAUCUGGAGACAUUUUUGAUUGUCAUAACGGGGUGGGGACUAAGCUGUCACUGGCAUCUAGUAGGAGGCCAGAGAUGCUACUGAACGUCCCAUAAUGCACAGGAGCCAAUAAAGAAUUAUCUGGCCCCUGUGUCAGGAGUGCUGGGGUUGAGACACCUGGAGGGGUGGGACGUGUCAAAGGCGAGAAGAGGUCUGGGCUUGGAGUCCAAGCAGAGGAGCAGGCCUUUAAGGAGACUGAAAGGGAACUGCCAGAGAGAAGCCACUGACCAGGGGAAGCUCCUCAGUGACAUGAGCUAUUGGCAAAUCAAUGUCAAGUACAGGGUAAUGAAUUGAGUGCUAAGGCAGGGCCUGAAGACGGAGGCCAGUUGAUGGAAUUUCUUGAUGAAUCCCUCACUGCUGCCCGACCCCAAGUAGAACCACUAAAGACAGGCUGCCAGUGGACCUCCUGAGGGGCCAGAGAGCUUUAUAGAAAGGGCCUCUUACCUUCUCCGCACCCCUUCUUAAAGGACAUGCCCCGGGGGACAUCAGGGCAAUGCCUGCAGCUUUGUGACUUGGUACUGCUCAAACAGCGGGUUCCAGCUGGCUGCCCCAGGGACAGCCAUUUCCAAGUUCGCCUCUUCCACCAACUCACAGGAAAAGGAGCUGGAGUUCAGCUGUUUCUCAAAACUGUAGUUUCUUCCCCUGUAGGAAUUGGGGCUGCAAAUAUUUUUCACUAAAGCCAAGGGGUUUUGACUCACUGGAUUUGACUGCUGGAAAUGGCUGAAGAUGUCAUCUGGGUUAUCCCCUUUGUGUGAUAUUUCAUUGGCCUGGUUCGGCAUCCUGGGAGCUUGAGACCUAUCUGAAACCGGGAAUACCUCUCUAGGUUGGCGUGGCUGUGUUGGACGCUCUGGGCUUCCCCUAAAUAGAACCUGACUCCUUGGGUGAAUGCUGAAAUAUAUUUGUGUCAUUUGUCCUCUCGAUUUACCAUAUUUAAUUCAUGUUCCCCCCAGAAAUAAGAUAGUGCAUUUAAAGAGCUUAGUACCACGCCCAGCCCAUUGUAAAUGCUCAAUAAAAUGCCAGCUGUAUUUUUUGUUCCUUGGGCUAUUUUAAUUCUUAGUCCUGGUCAGAGACAAAACGAAACUAACAUUGUGGGUCUAAGCUUUGGAGACAUAAAAAAAACAAAAACAAAAACAACUAUCUGCUAUAUGUUCAGAUUUCUAAUGGAACUAUGUUUUUAUGGCUUUUUUUAAGAUUUUAUUUACUUAUUUGAGAGAGAGAGAGCACAAGCAGGGGGAGCAGCAGAGGGAGAAGGAGACUCCCGCUGAGCAGGGAGCCCAACAACGCGGGCUCCAUCCCAGGACCUCGAGAUCAUGACUUGAGCGGAAGGCAGCCACUUAACUGACUCAACCAGCCAGGCGUCCCCUGAACUAUGUUUUUAAAGAUUAAUAUUAAGAGACCACAUUUUCAUAUUCAAACGCCCUAAGAAAAUAUCAUAUACCAGAAAUCUUCCUGCCUGAAGAUUGAUGUACGUUUGCAACAAUAAAGCCUCCAUUUUCUGUGGAGACCUGAGCCAGCCGUUGGUUUUAUUACCACUUCCUAAUAAAAAUAAGAGAAAAGAGAAAACACAAUACACACUUGCUUUCCAUGGUACACAACUUCUUACUCGAUUUAAGUAGUUUCAAGCCCAUCAAAAAUCAAGAUUUUAGGUUGCUGGGUUGGAAAUCGCUUGGCGUGAAAAGGGAAAAAAAUCUUCCGGAUUGUUGUGUCUGGUACUCUGUGUUUUCUCCGGGUUUCAUUCACAGUGGGGAGAGGAAUGGGGAGUGAGGAGAAGGAAGGGGAAUGUUGGCGGAGGGAAAACAUUCCGAAACGAGAAGAUGCUAUUAUUGCACCUUCGGGCGGUUCUGUUCCUGGAGCAGGUACAGACCAAAUGCCGUUCUGGAAAAAACCUGAGCCCAAACUUAUGUCUUCUAGUCACAACAAUAACAACAAAACCCAACUCCGUACAACAGGGGGGAGGGGGGUGUUUAUAUAACGUGUGGGUCGGGUCCCAUACGGUAGCCUCGCCGCUCAGGGCUUCUCACGCCCCCUACUGGAGAAAGCAGGCGCGCUUCCGAAUUACAGAGCCGCAGAAGUUCCCAUUGCCCUCCAACUCUCUUCUUGGGGAACCUGUGGGGCAGAGAGGGCGCAAAGUUCCGCUCUGACCCAGAUAGCGUCUUCCCCUCUCCUGAAAUCCUCUCCUGCACUCUCUUGGAUCCGGUGUCCAAAACGACUGCCAGAGACUGUGUCUCUUGGUGCGAAGGAAAAGGACUGGCCAGACUAAAAAGGAGAGACUUUGGGGAAAUGCAGGAUUCCAGCCCUGGGCCGCGGCCCGGAGGAGAUGAUGUCACCGCUCCGGCGAAGCGAGGGCUGGGGGGGUGGGGCGGCCGAGGGGGAGCCCGCGCCGCGCCCGCCGCCGCCAAGGGAGCGUUCCGGGCCGACGUCAGGGGACGCGUCGGGAUAAAUAGGGUCCCGCAAUGGCCGAGGCCGGCUGCGCUCGGAGCUGCCGGGUCCGCGACUGGAGCUGCCCGGGCGGGUCCGCGCCCCGCAGGCUGAGGGCUGGCGCUGCUCGCGCUCGGUGCGCCGGACGCCGGAGACCCCCGGCCGGCCCC